GCCGGACUGGCGGAAUAGGCAGACGCGAUGGAUUCAAAAUCCAUUGCCCGCAAGGGCGUCCCGGUUCGACUCCGGGGUUCGGUA
rnacentral:tRNA from 2 species